AAUGCAGAAAUGAAAACUUUAAUUUUAAUUUGGAUGAAUACAAAAAUGUUUCUUCAUAGAAAACUUUACAUCUGAUAAUAAGGCAUUGUUCUGAUGUAUGGUACCUAAGGCACAGCUUUGUGAAUCCCCCUAGGAUGAAGUCUGAGAGCAGGGUCAGUGUUAUCCUACUAGAAAAAUGGAAAAUCUGAAGGAAAGAAGAUAUUUCAUAAGUGAAAACAUGACAAUCAUCUACUAAGUAUUCAAGCCAGGAAAAAUAAUCAAGGGGUCCUUCAUGGUGAAAAGGUUGUGAACCAAAGAUUAAGAAGUAUAUUCUGCUUUGCUCAGUGUUAUACAACUUAAAGCAAAUCUAUCACAUAUCAUAAAAUAUGGGAACAAAAAUGAAUCAAGAAAGGAAAUACCUUGAAGGGUGCUUCUGUAAAAAAUACUGAUUCCUUUCCUGAAAGUGGUGUUGAAGUUAUUGAUCUUGGGGAAGACACAUCACUCAACUAAAAGAAGAAAAUGAAAACCACCAGUAAAGAAUAGGUUCUCAAAGUCUUGUCUUUUCUAGUGCUGUUGAAGCACAUCCAGGCAACUAAACUAACUUUUUCUUCUAGCAGUUCAUGCUUUCAUAGCAAGAAGAUUAAAAACAGACAAAACCAGAUGAAGAUGGUGUGGAGAACUGCGGAAGUAGAGGAUGAGGAGUUGUCUACCAUAAUCAGAACCCAGGACACUUUCACAGUGAGUGCCAAAACUAAGCGAGGCUACAGGGUAUAAUGGAACAGAAGGCAACCCAGAAAUCAUAAAAGCUAAACCAGCAACUGGAGAUGCAAGAGAAGAGGAAGGGCUCACAAGUUCUCCCCUCUCUACAGACCUCAAUUACAUUUUCAAACCUCAGUUUCUCACUCUCCUAGGUUUCUUUUACAACAAAAGUAGUUCCAUCAGGAAAGUCAAGUGUGCAAAGGGAUUAGAGACAAUUUAAGAUAUGUGAGUGAGAGAAACUGCAAAUCACCUGUCAAACUGUUUCCAACUCCUUUUGUAGCACACUUUUGAUUUUUAACUAGAAAAAUUGCAGCCCAGAAUUUCCCUGCUUCCCAUACAGCCAGGUAUGCCACAGUCCAUGUUGUGUCCAGUGAGAUCUGAGUAGAAAUAGGUAUGGGCAAUGUGAGGACUGUGCCUGCCUUCCCGUGAGGCUGCUGGGCUGCAGACCCCGGGGAACUAUCCUGGAUCACUGGGACCACAGAAAGACCCUGCUUGGUACAGCAGCAAGGAAUCUGGAUCCUCACUGUGUGAAGUAGAGCUGCCACACCAAUCUGGACUUUCAAUUGAGAGACAUAACAUGCUGAUGUUUAAGCCACUCUUAUCUUGGGUUCUGUCGAAUGUCAAAUGCAUAUCCUUAUUAAUGGAGUCUUAAAGUUAAAGCCUCAGAGACGUAUUGAUAACAAACAGAUGACUCUUUGGUCUUCUUCAAUCUUCUGGCAAUUAUAUCUAUUUAAUUCUAUUUCCUGCUCCAGGAUGCAAAGUGUAGGCAUCCGAAAAAUAAAACAAAACAAGAAACUUUGGCAUCAGUUUUGCUGUUUGCCUAGAACCGUUCUUUAAAAAAAAUAGAUAGAAUUCCCAAUUCUUACAUCUGUGAAGAACAAUAAGAAACAAACAAGAAAGGGUGUAAGGAAAUAACAUGGAUCCAGUUCAGAGAUGGUCCAGGAACUGACCCCUCCACCUGACUGCUCUGCACUGUUGGGCAAACAAGCAAUUAAGCAACAGAGAAAUCACCCUCCCAACAAAAUCACAAGGGAGAGUCUUGUGUAAGUCUUUGGGCUCUUCCUUUCUGAUAUUUAAAAUGAAAACACUUGGCAUGAUGAUUGUCAAACCUUCUCUUUCCUUUUCUCCUAAGAUCUGAAACUUCUCAAUAGCUCAAAGAGUAAAAGUAAAAAAAAAAAAAAAAAAAAAAAAAA